AGAAUUGUCUCAACAAAGCCGAAAGAAGUUGGGGGAAUCUGACAGAGCUCCAUUCCAUCUGCCAGAAACUUGCAAUUCCCCAGAUGUUUCUCAGAUGACAAUGUUUCCAGUGGGUAAGGCUGCAGCACUGGGGAUCAAAGGUUCCUGUGUCUUGGACCUCAACUCUCUGAAAAUAGGAGUGAUAAUAUGACCACAUCUUUCCAAGUGCUAUGGCCGUCGUUCAAAGAAUGUACAGGAAGAAGACAGUGCAAAAGCCACAGCAUGGAGAUGCCCACUGCCCAGUCUGCUACUCCUACAAGCUGGUGGCCCCACACAUCUGGCGGUUCUCAUGCCGACACCGGAAGCCAUGCCAGAACUCAGGUGCCUAUGAGUCACCCACAUUUGGUAUCACUGAUAGAAAGAAAUCUACGGUUUCAAAACAGAAUCAGAAAUGCAGGGAACGCCACUUUCCCCUUCGGCCACAAGACAAAUACAAUAUUGAUACUGAGACUUAUCUGAUCCAAGAGUGAAAAAAACAACAAUGGUUUCUCAGUGGCUCCUUCAGCUUCCUCAUGAGCACAGUGGGACAUGCACUAACACGCUUUGCAAAGAGGCUUCGUUAAUGACACCUGCUCAGACCAUCUGCUGGUUAGUCACAUCUUAUUUGAGAUCUCCAUUGUUUCUGAAUGGUAAAUACUGGAGGAAGGAUUCAUGGGAAGUGUGAGAACUGGCCUCAUUCACAUAGCCCAGAAUGUCCUUUUCCAAAGUUGAGUGUUGGCGUGUGUCACGGAAACAUCAAAUUCUGAUAAACCCAAUUUGUAAAUCUUAUUAUGACUGUCAAGAUUGCCUUGUGUUGCCUACACUGUGGGAGCCCAUUUCCAGGUUCCUAGUGGCUUUACCCAGCAGGUCUGCAUAGAGGAUGAUUAGGACCACGGGCCUGAGUGCAGGUGUCUGAGAUGGUCGGCACUUGGCUGUGCUGGGGGAGGUCUGUUGCUCCACCCCUUGGUGUUUCUAUAAAUACCGUAGGGCAGAGACAGUCAGGACCCAUUGGAAUAGGUUCCAGGCCCUCUCGAGGCUAUCCUGUAUUUUCUGUUUAUCUCCACACUCUAAAUCCUUCUAAUAUUUCCUGCUGCUCUCACUAAAGAAAACUCUGGGGAACUGUGGAGUUGGUGGGUAGCUACCCCACGCUACAUGAAAGGACUCUACACCUAUUCUUCUUUGUUUUCCUAUAUUGUUAUUAUUUUGAAUCUUUCAUAUUUUGGGAGGACUCUGUCCAGUACCUCAGACUUCAAAAGGAUCUAUGAGCACAGUCCAGAACCAGUAGGAAGAAUGUUUCUCUAAAUGUUUAGAUGCCAAAGACCUUUUAUUUUAUUUUUUGAGGUUACAAUUUGAUUACAAUAUUUCUCCUUUCCCUUCCCUCCUCACUCUCCUUCAAAUUCAUGGUUUCUCUUCUCAUUAAUUUUAUUGCCUGCAUAUAUGUGUAUACAUAGAACCUAUUCAGUCCAUAUAAUCUUAUUUGUACAUGUGUUUUCAGGACUGCCUGUUUGGCGAUGGACAACUAAUUUGUAUAUCGUUCCCCAAGGAAGACCACUUCUCUCCUCCAGCUUUCCUCGGUUGCCUAUAGUUCUUUGUGUAGGGUUGAGAACUCAUGGGCUUUUCCAUAUGCAAUUUGGUGUGUUUUGCUGGACACCAAAAAACUUUGAUUAAAAUAUUGCUUUUCUUUCCCCUCCUUUUCUUUCCUUUCUUUUUUCCCUCCUCUUUUCUCCUCUUCUUUUUCUUCUUCCUAUGUUUUCUUUUUUUUAAUGAGAUAAGGUCUGGCUAUGCUGCCCAACCUGGCCCUGCACUCCUGGGCUCAAGCAAUCCUUGGAGAGUAGCAGGGACUGCAGGUAGAGACCACUGCACCUGGCUUCUUGGAACGUUCUACAGCAGCAUUGCAAGUCUCAGUAAACCAAAUGCAUCCAGACACUCAGACACACAGGUUUGGCCUCUAUCUAUAUGAACAUGGAUGGAGAUCUUGAGUUCUUUUCUUAUUCUGAUCACUCAAUCAUUCAUACACACACACACACAGAGUACUUGACUUUGCCUAGGAGUUAAAUGCUGAUCUCAAGAUAAAUGUCCUUCAUUUCACUGCCCACAUUUCAAAUUCAUUAGCUUUUGCGUCUUGCUUUACCUACAAGGAAAUUGGUGACCAGUGAUGAUCUCAGGUGACAAGGGAAAACCUUCAGUCUCUCUAACUCAAGAUUUCUGAAUCUUUUCAUUCUGUCUGGGAAGAUGAUUCCCUAACAAUGAAUUUCUUUGUAGUAUCACCUUUGUGAAACAGACUUUGUCCUGUCAAAGUAUCACUGUGGAGGGAUCAUGUGCUUCUCCUCUUCCUCCUCUGCAGAACCUUCGAGAUCUACUGUCCCACUUGGAGACUCAAUGAGGAGAUUAGUAAGAUAGCAGGAACAUGAAGCAAUACACUGAUUGUUUAAAACGCAAUACAAUUCUGUGUGUUGCACACAACAAUGAGAAACUAUGCGAAGUUGCAAAACAAAUACUUCCUUAUGGUUGUGCUAUUAGUCUUUAUUAUCUCUGGGAUGUCCUUUCCAACUUAAAGAUGUGUCCUUUCUGUGGGGGACCUACUGGAGUCAUGUUACAGUAGACCCUGAAGCAUUUGAUUUGCCUUUGUUCCCAUGGGGGAAAUUGAAUUGGAGACCUUGUGUGAGAGUCUUGAUGAACAGUGACUGGUUCAGCUGGUUCACCAGGCCAAACAAGAAGAAAAAAACUAAAGUAUUUGAAAUGUGGGUGGUGAAAUGAAAAAACAUUUAUCUUGAGAUCAACAUUUAACUCCUAGGCAAAGUCAAGUACUCUGUGUGUGUGUGUGUGUGUGUGUGUGUGUGUGUGUGUGUGUGUGUGUGUGUGUGAAUUAUUGAGUGAUCAGAACAAGACAAGAUCUCAAGAUAUCAAUCCUUGUUCUUAUAGAUAGAGGUGGAGUCUGUCUGUCUGAGUGUCUGGAAUGGAUUUGAUUUCAUGAGACUUGUAGUGCAGCUAUAGAAAAUUUUGAAGCUCACUCAACUGUAGUGAAAUUUAUAGACUCAAAGCAGACAUUCUUGAUAAACAUGAAUUUCUCAUGUAAAACUUUCAAGACUUUUUAAGACUUUAAAAUAUUCCUUUAGUGUUUCUUUUAGUGUUUUAAUAAUAAAGAGUAUUUUCUUCCUUCAAUACAGAAUAGAAUGUAAUCUCCUCUGCAUGAUUAAAUAGACAUGAUUUCAUCAUCAAAUACCAGAAAACAAGCGUAGAGAGGCAUUCUAGUUUGUCACCAUGUGUUGAAAUCAGAAACAACAAGCACCAGACAUCAUCAGAAAAGUUGGGAGAUUGAAGGUGUUUAGACUCACCUGAUAGGUUGGCAGUUUCGAUUCCUUAAUGGUCUUGGCAUAGCACCAACCCAUGCUGACCUAGCUUCCCACCAUCCUGUCCUGGUUCUCAUGCAUUUAUUGCCCUCAAUCUGGGAGAUGCUGCAGUGUACAGCAUCCUCUGUAGUGGGUAGCUGUUCCAGCUUUGACCUGGAAGUACUACUCCCAUUGAGGCUUCGGUAAUUGUUAUGCCUAUAAGGCAGAGCCGAGAGAGGAUCCCUGAAGACCUGAAAUCCAGAAGGGCUGGCUCUCGUGGUUCCUGGAUCCUGGACGCUGGAGGUAGACUGAGCAGAGUUCUCCAGAGAACAUCGGGG